AGCUGGGUCCCGCGCAACGGAAGGUUAUGAAUCCCGUCAGGUCCGGAAGGAAGCAGCGGCAGUAACUGGCUCCGUGUGCCGUGGGGGUGCCCAGCUAUC
rnacentral:SRP_RNA from 1 species